rnacentral:rRNA from 1 species
UACGUAGGGGGCAAGCGUUGUCCGGAAUCAUUGGGCGUAAAGCGCGUGUAGGCGGCUCGGUAAGUCCGCUCUGAAAGUCCGGGGCUCAACCCCGGGAGGCGGGUGGAUACUGUCGAGCUCGAGUCCGGAAGAGGCGAGUGGAAUUCCUGGUGUAGCGGUGAACUGCGCAGAUAUCAGGAGGAACACCGAUGGCGAAGGCAGCUCGCUGGGACGUGACUGACGCUGAGACGCGAAAGCGUGGGGAGCAAACAGG